AUUGAACGCUGGCGGCAUGCCUUACACAUGCAAGUCGAACGGCAGCACGGGUGCUUGCACCUGGUGGCGAGUGGCGAACGGGUGAGUAAUACAUCGGAACAUGUCCUGUAGUGGGGGAUAGCCCGGCGAAAGCCGGAUUAAUACCGCAUACGAUCUACGGUAGAAAGCGGGGGACCUUCGGGCCUCGCGCUAUAGGGUUGGCCGAUGGUUGAUUAGCUAGUUGGUGGGGUAAAGGCCUACCAAGGGGACGAUCAGUAGCUGGUCUGAGAGGACGACCAGCCACACUGGAACUAGGAAACGGCCCAGACUCCUACGGGAGGCAGCAGUGGGGAAUUUUGGACAAUGGGCGAAGGCCUGAUCCAGCAAUGCCGGGUGGGUGAAGAGGGCCUUCGGGUUGUAAAGCACGUUUGUCCGGAAAGAAGGCCUUGGCCCUAAUACGGUCGGGGAAUGACGGUACCGGAAGAAUAAGCACCGGCUAACUACGUG
rnacentral:rRNA from 1 species